rnacentral:rRNA from 1 species
AGCGAACGCUGGCGGCAGGCCUAACACAUGCAAGUCGAACGGAUCCUUCGGGAUUAGUGGCGGACGGGUGAGUAACACGUGGGAACGUGCCCUUUGGUUCGGAACAACUCAGGGAAACUUGAGCUAAUACCGGAUGUGCCCUUCGGGGGAAAGAUUUAUCGCCAUUGGAGCGGCCCGCGUCUGAUUAGCUAGUUGGUGAGGUAACGGCCCACCAAGGCGACGAUCAGUAGCUGGUCUGAGAGGAUGAUCAGCCACACUGGGACUGAGGCACGGCCCAGACUCCUACGGGAGGCAGCAGUGGGGAAUCUUGCGCAAUGGGCGAAAGCCUGACGCAGCCAUGCCGCGUGAAUGAUGAAGGUCUUAGGAUUGUAAAAUUCUUUCAGCGGGGACGAUAAUGACGGUACCCGCAGAAGAAGCGCCGGCUAACUUCGUG